UUUAAGCAAGUCAACCCUGUCUUGGAAGAACCUAAUUGCUUCCCAAGUUUAGUCAAAUAAACGUUCUGGACUUGACAAGAAAUGUUGGAACUCAAGCACUGUUUCUAGAAGUAUUGCAGGCGGAUCGGCAUCACUGUACAGAAGGCCAAUCAUACUGUACUGGUCUUUCAGAUCUGCUAUCUCCCUCUCAAGAUCUGUCUUCUUGCUCUGCAGAUGGGCAUGAUGCACUGCCUCUCUAAAUUUCUGCCCAGUUUCACAGUCAACAUCUCUCUCUCUCUGUCCCAACUUCUCUGCAAUCUGGAGGUCAAGAUGGUGGCACUCUGUUUCCAUCGCUGUGUGAUGUUUGAGAAAUAUCCCGAGAGACAUAUGCAGUCCCGGGGGACACACCUGUAGUGAGAAGGAAAUUUGAACCUUACCUCCAAGAAGCUGUUGACAAGUCAUGGAUCUGCCUUGUGAUACCAUCAAGUCCCACGGUCAGGUUAAAAGGAGAGUCAGGGGCACUGAACACACAUAUUGAAUGUGUGUUUAGAAGGCUAUUGGGACGGUCAACAUUUGCUACCUGCACCAUUAAUUUGAAGGAAGUGCCCCCUUUAUCACCUCCUAUCUUUAUCCACACUUGAUGUUCUGGGAUUUGUCCUCCAUGCCAUGUUAGCUGAUUCAGACUGUUGACAAAUCACAUGCAUUAUCUUAUUUAUCACUGCAAUAGGAUGCAACAUUUGAGAGACAUUUAAAUUGCAUUUCUUCAAUUUUAUUGUUACUA